UACGUAGGGUGCGGGCGUUAAUCGGAAUUACUGGGCGUAAAGCGUGCGCAGGCGGCUUGCCAAGUCAGAUGUGAAAGCCCCGGGCUUAACCUGGGAAUGGCGUUUGAAACUGGCAGGCUAGAGUUUGGCAGAGGGGGGUGGAAUUCCACGUGUAGCAGUGAAAUGCGUAGAGAUGUGGAGGAACACCGAUGGCGAAGGCAGCCCCCUGGGCCAAAACUGACGCUCAGGCACGAAAGCGUGGGGAGCAAACAGG
rnacentral:rRNA from 1 species